UCUUAAAUCUCUCUAAACCAAAUCUGAGAACUCCUGGGAAGGUCUGAGAAAAGGUACUACGUUAUGUGAAUCUUCUAGCAGAAGAGUGGCGUAAUACGCUGCAAGGUUCGUACUAGAAAAACGGCACACUUCAUAUGUGAUGAACGCAUGAGGGUUUCACUAGUAUCAGACGUGCAUAUAUGAAGUGUUGGAAGGAGAUCCUCGUACCGGCUGUGCUUAGUGCAAUAACCAGGCAAACACAAUUCAGACUACUCUCUUGGGA
rnacentral:RNase_P_RNA from 1 species